rnacentral:pre_miRNA from 1 species
CUCUGCUGGGCCUUGGCACUGGGAGAAUUCACAGGAGUUACAGUUUACCCGUGAAUUUCCUGAUGCCUCAGCUCAUUGGGG